UCUCGCGUCUUCUCAUCACAUAACCGAUCGAGUAACUCAUCAGAGAAUUGCGUAGAGAUUGAUCUCCGUGCUAUAAGCUAGAUAUCUUCAGAAGAUUAGAACGAGACAGGGAGAGAGCUGAGUUGGUAGAAGCAGAACGUGAAAGAAUAUAAUGGAGGGCGUCAACCACAAGAACCUGCAGCCCCCACUAGGCUACCCGACGGUGGAUUCGGAGCAGCAAGGCGCGGCGUCGCCGCGGCGCGGACGAGCCAGAGGGCGGGGACGAAAGACUAGUUUCAUCGAUGGAUGCAUUGCCGCCCUGUGCUGCUGUUGGCUCUGCGACCUUUGCUGCGAGUAGAGCAGACCAAGCCUCAGGCGGCGUGCACACAGUAUUACAGACCGAGCGCCCGCCACAUACAGCAAGUUCAUGUACACGUAUAUAUGUGCGUGUGUGUUGCAUUCAUCAGUUAAGAGCGGGGAUGGUGUAAAAGUUUUCCACAUUGUUUGUUUGGUAGUACAGCUCGUAGAUUUAUUUCUUUUUCUGAUUGUUUUGAGUGUGGUUUGUGUGGACCUCGGCUUGUACUCUAUCAGUUUAUGUCCUUGUUCAAAGAAAGUAUAGAACAUAUAUAUGAGUUCUAUCUGUUAUUUAUGUGUUUGGUUAAGUUGGGGGCCGGGUCAAAAAGGUUCAGUCAUGGAAGUGGAGUUUGCUGCUACCUGAGCUAGAGAUAUAGGUUGGUUACCCAGUCGAUUGAAUCAACCCUUGGUGCUGACUUCGCUCCAUAAGUCUGGCUGUGAUCCUUUGGAACAUUAGGAAAGGAUGAAAUGCUCUGGUCUUUGAACAUGUCCAUCUCCAUCGGAGGCUUUUGCUUCAAAGAAUGUCUGUUGACCUUACUCUUUGGCAGCAUAGAGCUGCCUCUCCUGAAGACUUUUGGUCAUGUAGGCCUAGCGGGACAGAUUUUGUAUUGUAAUAAUCUAGUUUCUGCUUUCAUUUCCCUUAUUUAUUCACAAAUCUAUUAUACCAAAAUAUGCAUAUAUUAAUGAAAUGUUCAGGUUGGCA